CCUACGGGUGGCAGCAGUCGAGAAUCAUUCACAAUGGGGGAAACCCUGAUGGUGCGACGCCGCGUGGGGGAAUGAAGGUCUUCGGAUUGUAAACCCCUGUCAUGUGGGAGCAAAUUAAAAAGAUAGUACCACAAGAGGAAGAGACGGCUAACUCUGUGCCAGCAGCCGCGGUAAUACAGAGGUCUCAAGCGUUGUUCGGAAUCACUGGGCGUAAAGCGUGCGUAGGCUGUUUCGUAAGUCGUGUGUGAAAGGCGCGGGCUCAACCCGCGGACGGCACAUGAUACUGCGAGACUAGAGUGAUGGAGAGGGAACCGGAAUUCUCGGUGUAGCAGUGAAAUGCGUAGAGAUCGAGAGGAACACUCGUGGCGAAGGCGGGUUCCUGGACAUUAACUGACGCUGAGGCACGAAGGCCAGGGGAGCGAAAGGGAUUAGAUACCCCAGUAGUC
rnacentral:rRNA from 1 species